CUAUUCAAAAUGAACCACAUAAUCGAUAACAACAAACAAUCGGAACUUCUAACAAGUGAACAACACUAACAGCUGUAACAACAAGCAAACAUCGGGUCCCGGUUCCGGACCCAGCGUAUGAGAUGAUCACCUGAUCUCGUCUCCCAUAUUUUGGCCACUAGACGGCCUGCAUCAGCCCGUGUCGGCUGUUAUGCCCCCUCUCCCCAUCAGUUGAGACUUAGUCGGACAUUUCUCUCUUCAAUAUGUAUCUCCAUUCACUUAUUCACAUUAUCAUGCACGUGAACAUUUCUGCACCAGAAUAUAUUUUAUUUACUUUAACAACGAUAAAUGCAACAGGCGACGAAACACUGCGAGCAAAGUUAUUGCCAGUCAACAAAAGAAGAAGAAAAAAGAAACGAGGGGAAAGAUAAAAACAUCAGUUAAUUAAUUAAUCAAUAAUCUUUGGGGCCAUUCCUUCACUGUUCACACUUUCGAAAAUGUCUUACGUGAAACUAGGAGCACAAUCAGGAGUCUACGUCUGACUCUGCCAACGACUCGGGCGAGGAGGGGCGAAAUGGGACAGACUCACUUGGAGGAUAUGGGCGUGGUCUCGCCUGUGUCCGAUUCUUCGCUGUUGGAUUCUUCGGUCGUCGGUGGCUCGUCUCUUUAGGGUUGCGCCGAGGCUUGGAUGAGGUGCGCCGCUUAGCCAAAACUGGCCGGGUCACAGAUAACGGCUUGUGAGACGGGAGAAACAGCUGGUCGUCCUCUGCGUGGCUCCUUGGCUGGUACUUAUAUUUUAUUUUGUUUUCCUUUGGUUAUAUUACCUUCUGAGCAUUAAUUGUAUGAAUAAAUUUAGCCGCACGUCACAA